rnacentral:rRNA from 1 species
GACGAACGCUGGCGGCGUGCUUAACACAUGCAAGUCGAACGAUGAAGCUGGAGCUUGCUCCGGUGGAUUAGUGGCGAACGGGUGAGUAACACGUGAGCAAUCUGCCCUUGACUCUGGGAUAACUGCGGGAAACUGUAGCUAAUACCGGAUACGACACCUUGGGGCAUCCCGGGGUGUGGAAAGAAUUUCGGUCAAGGAUGAGCUCGCGGCCUAUCAGCUUGUUGGUGAGGUAAAGGCUCACCAAGGCGACGACGGGUAGCCGGCCUGAGAGGGGUGACCGGCCACACUGGAACUGAGACACGGUCCAGACUCCUACGGGAGGCAGCAGUGGGGAAUAUUGCACAAUGGGCGAAAGCCUGAUGCAGCAACGCCGCGUGAGGGAUGACGGCCUUCGGGUUGUAAACCUCUUUUAGCAGGGAAGAAGCGAAAGUGACGGUACCUGCAGAAAAAGCACCGGCUAACUACGUGCCAGCCGCCGCCGUAA